AUACUAGCAUCACUACUCCACUAUUCUUUGGGGCCAUUAUUAAGUAAAAUAAUGGUUAUUUGAACACAAGCACCAGGAUACUACCACAGUUGAUCUUGUAACCAAGAAGGCUACUAAGUGACCACCAGGAGGGCAGCAUAUGAAGUGGGACUAUGCCAGACAAACGAAUCAUUCCAGUCCUGAAUGGAACAGAAAGAAAUAAAGUAAGAUUUCAUUACGCUACUCAGAAUGGUGUGCAACUUAGUUAAAACUUGUAAAUUAUUUAUUUUUGGAUUUUUCUAUUUAAUAUUUUGGGACGUCAGGUAUCUGAAACCUUAGAAAGUGAAACCACGGGAUAAGGGAAACUACUAUAACUGGAAUUGAGCCUCAACAUAACCCAGUGAGGGAAGGGCUGCAGUCUGCUAAAGGAGGAAAGAGUCUGGGUUUCAAAGGCAUGACAGGACCUAACCAACAUAUACCAACAGAUGGCAGAGCAGUAUGUACAAAAUUGGGUUCUGAGGAUGCUGGAUUAAGGAGGGUAGAAUAUAAAAUUGGAUUAGGAAGAGUUGAUUAACAUGGAAACACUCAACUACCACAUAGGACUUAAAGCCCUGGAAAAUGACCUUGGGAGAUGAAGCUAAUACGUUGCUAAGAUAGCUCUUGGAAGUUUGCUGAAAGUUAUGGCCCAUGCUAAGUGAAGUAUAUUUACCAGGGUAUUCUGGCAGAUGAGGAAGAAUAAAUAAAGAAAAGUUGAGAGUAAUGGUCAUGUGCAGUGCAUACAUUUCAUGAAGGUAGAUGAUAAAGAAGUGCAGGUGAGAAGAGAACCACUACAACUGAGAAGUUCAGUAAUAGCUGUCCUCUAUAGGCCAGGGCCAAUGAUAGGAGAUGUGUCCAUAGAACUGUCCUUCCUGAUAAUAGUGGGGAUGAUACGAGCUGGAAUAAUAACAGAAGCAGCAUGGUGGGAACAAUUAUUGCAUUGAGGACUAAGGUUGAGGUGGAAGCUGACAGCACAUAUAAUAGUUAUUUAACUGUUUGCUUUUUUUUUUUUUUUUUUACCUUUUUUAAGUGAAUAAAGUAAGCACAGAUCUGGAAACUGGGCAAGGGAUGAACCAUGGAGGAUGACAAUGGACCAUUAAAAAUUCAACGAGUCCUAAUUGUGGCUGCUAUACAAGAUAUGGUGUAUUUGCUAGGGAAGAUUAAUAAAGCCUCAGAUACAUUUUAUUAUAUAUGACCACUAAUCUGGUGAAUGCAAUUUUUUUCUAAUCCUAUUAGAAAGAUCAGGAACAGUUCAUAUUCAUUUGACACACACAACAUCAUUUACAUAUAUUCUUUUCCUUGGGGCUAUGUUAAAUCUCCCAUUUCCUGUCCCAAGGACUUGGACCAUAUGGAUACUCUGAAGAAAAUGACAUUGGUCUACUAUAUCAAUGAUACCAUGUUAGUUAAACUGAAUAGAUCAAGAAGCGGUGACUACAUUGGAGACCAAGCUACAGAUUCCUUCAGAGUCUAUAGUAAACAAUCCAAUCAGUUAUGAGUUUCCUCAGCAAAAGACAUCCAACAGAACUGUGAAGGAGUUGCUCCUAGGAAGUGGAUCCAAGAAAUGCCAAGAAUGGUCUCUUCUUUUUUUCUUUUUUUUUUUUUUCUGAGACUGGGUCUCACUUUGUCACCAGGCUGGAGUGCAGUAGCCUGAUCUUAGCUCACUGAAGCCUCGACCUCCUGGGCUCAAGCAAUCCUCCCACGUUAGCCCCCAAGUAACUGGGACUACAGACACACACCACCACUCCUGGCUAAUUUUUUUUUUUUUUUUUGUAAAGACAAGGUUCUGCCAUGUUGCCCAGGCUGGUUUCGAACUCCUGAGCUCAAGCAAUCAGCCCACCUUGGCCUCCCAGUGUGUUAGGAUUACAGGCAUGAGCCACCACUCCCAGCAAGAAUAGUCUCUAUUGAAUACCGUAGUGUGCUAUCCAUAUGUCUCUACUUCGGUACUCGUCAGUCCUUCAAAGACAUCCAAGACCAUGCUUCCUCUGCAGCACCACUCCUUAUCCAACGACCAGUAGAUGCUGGAAUUAAAGAACCAGACCCCUCGCCAUGAUUUGCGACAACUCUAAAGGCCUUCCCAGCUCCCGAGCUCUCCAGAAGACAGGCUGAGGUUUUUAUUGUGACUGCAUCAUAGUUCAAUUUCUUUCACUUCCACAGGUGUUAAUUCCAAAAACAAUCCCCAAUAAACUUCCU
rnacentral:lncRNA from 10 species